UACGUAGGGUGCAAGCGUUAAUCGGAAUUACUGGGCGUAAAGCGUGCGCAGGCGGUUAUGCAAGACAGAUGUGAAAUCCCCGGGCUCAACCUGGGAACUGCAUUUGUGAUUGCAUGGCUAGAGUACGGUAGAGGGGGAUGGAAUUCCGCGUGUAGCAGUGAAAUGCGUAGAUAUGCGGAGGAACACCGAUGGCGAAGGCAAUCCCCUGGACCUGUACUGACGCUCAUGCACGAAAGCGUGGGGAGCAAACAGG
rnacentral:rRNA from 1 species